rnacentral:rRNA from 1 species
UGCAGUCGAGGGGUAGCAGGAAGUAGCAAUACUUCGCUGACGACCGGCGCACGGGUGAGUAACACGUAUACAAUCUACCUUCCACAGGGGGAUAGCCCGAAGAAAUUCGGAUUAAUACCCCAUAACACAGGGAUGCCGCAUGGCAAUAUUUGUUAAAGGAGCAAUCCGGUAGAAGAUGAGUAUGCGUUCCAUUAGGUAGUUGGUGAGGUAACGGCCCACCAAGCCUACGAUGGAUAGGGGAACUGAGAGGUUUAUCCCCCACACUGGAACUGAGACACGGUCCAGACUCCUACGGGAGGCAGCAGUGAGGAAUAUUGGUCAAUGGACGCAAGUCUGAACCAGCCAAGUCGCGUGAAGGAUGACGGCCCUACGGGUUGUAAACUUCUUUUGUAUGGGAGUAAAAAAGUCUACGAGUAGACUAUUGCAAGUACCAUACGAAUAAGCAUCGGCUAACUCCGUGCCAGCAGCCGCGGUAAUACGGAGGAUGCAAGCGUUAUCCGGAUUUAUUGGGUUUAAAGGGUGCGUAGGCGGGACAAUAAGUCAGCGGUGAAAGUUUGAGGCUCAACCUUAAAAUUGCCGUUGAAACUGUCGUUCUUGAGUAUAUUUGAAGUAGGCGGAAUUCGUAGUGUAGCGGUGAAAUGCAUAGAUAUUACGAAGAACUCCAAUUGCGAAGGCAGCUUACUAAACUAUAACUGACGCUGAAGCACGAAAGCGUGGGUAUCAAACAGGAUUAGAUACCCUGGUAGUCCACGCCGUAAACGAUGAUUACUAGCUGUUUGUGAUAUUACAAUAAGCGGCUAAGCGAAAGCGAUAAGUAAUCCACCUGGGGAGUACGCCGGCAACGGUGAAACUCAAAGGAAUUGACGGGGGCCCGCACAAGCGGAGGAACAUGUGGUUUAAUUCGAUGAUACGCGAGGAACCUUACCCGGGCUUGAAAUGCAUCUGACCGCCCAAGAAACUGGGCUUCUAGCAAUAGCAGAUGUGUAGGUGCUGCAUGGUUGUCGUCAGC